GAUGAAGAACGCAGUGAAAUGCGAUAAGUAAUGCGAAUUGCAGAAUUCAGUGAAUCAUCGAAUCUUUGAACGCACAUUGCGCCCGCCAGUAUUCUGGCGGGCAUGCCUGUCUGAGCGUCGUUUCGACCCUCGCGCCCGGCUUCUGUCGGGGGCGGUGUUGGGGAUCGGCCACACCCUUCAGUGGGAGGCCGGCCCCUAAAUUCAGUGGCGACCACGCUGUAGCCUCCCCUGCGUAGUACUAAAACCACCUCGCAGGCGGAGAGCGGUGCGGCCCGCCGUAAAACCCCCCAACUUUUACAAGGUCGACCUCAGAUCAGGUAGGAAUACCCGCUGAACUUAAGCAUAUCAAUAAGCGGAGGA
rnacentral:misc_RNA from 1 species